rnacentral:rRNA from 1 species
UACGUAGGGUGCAAGCGUUGUCCGGAAUUAUUGGGCGUAAAGAGCUUGUAGGCGGUUUGUCGCGUCUGCUGUGAAAUUUCGGGGCUCAACCCCGAACUUGCAGUGGGUACGGGCAGACUAGAGUGUGGUAGGGGAGACUGGAAUUCCUGGUGUAGCGGUGAAAUGCGCAGAUAUCAGGAGGAACACCGAUGGCGAAGGCGGCGAUCUGGGAAGAUACUGACGCUGAGGUGCGAAAGCGUGGGGAGCAAACAGG